rnacentral:rRNA from 1 species
GACGAACGCUGGCGGCAGGCCUAACACAUGCAAGUCGAGCGAGGACUUCGGUCCUAGCGGCGGACGGGUGAGUAACGCGUGGGAACGUGCCCUUUGCUACGGAAUAGCUCCGGGAAACUGGGAGUAAUACCGUAUGUGCCCGAGAGGGGAAAGAUUUAUCGGCAAAGGAUCGGCGCGCGUUGGAUUAGGUAGUUGGUGGGGUAAUGGCCUACCAAGCCGACGAUCCAUAGCUGGUUUGGGAGGAUGAUCAGCCACACUGGGACUGGGACACGGCCCAGACUCCUACGGGAGGCAGCAGUGGGGGAUCUUAGACAAUGGGGGAAACCCUGAUCUAGCCAUGCCGCGUGAGCGAUGAAGGCCGUAGGGUUGUAAAGCUCUUUCAGUGGGGAAGAUAAUGACGGUACCCACAGAAGAAGCCCCGGCUAACUCCGUGCCAGCAGCCGCCGUAAUAC